rnacentral:rRNA from 1 species
UACAGAGGUCCCAAGCGUUGUUCGGAUUCACUGGGCGUAAAGGGUGCGUAGGUGGCCUAAAAAGUUUGAUGUGAAAGCUCAGGGCUUAACCCUGAAAUGGCAUUGAAUACUGUUGGGCUGGAGGUUUGGAGGGGGGACUGGAAUUCUUGGUGUAGCAGUGAAAUGCGUAGAUAUCAAGAGGAACACCAGUGGCGAAGGCGAGUCCCUGGACCGGCAUUGACGCUGAGGCGCGAAAGCCAGGGGAGCAAACGGG